rnacentral:rRNA from 1 species
AUUGAACGCUGGCGGCAGGCCUAACACAUGCAAGUCGAGCGGAUGAAGGGAGCUUGCUCCUGGAUUCAGCGGCGGACGGGUGAGUAAUGCCUAGGAAUCUGCCUGGUAGUGGGUGAUAACGUCCGGAAACGGGCGCUAAUACCGCAUACGUCCUGAGGGAGAAAGUGGGGGAUCUUCGGACCUCACGCUAUCAGAUGAGCCUAGGUCGGAUUAGCUAGUUGGUGGGGUAAAGGCCUACCAAGGCGACAAUCCGUAACUGGUCUGAGAGGAUGAUCAGUCACACUGGAACUGAGACACGGUCCAGACUCCUACGGGAGGCAGCAGUGGGGAAUAUUGGACAAUGGGCGAAAGCCUGAUCCAGCCAUGCCGCGUGUGUGAAGAAGGUCUUCGGAUUGUAAAGCACUUUAAGUUGGGAGGAAGGGCAGUAAGUUAAUACCUUGCUGUUUUGACGUUACCAACAGAAUAAGCACCGGCUAACUUCGUG